AACAAGGCGUACCUGCGGACCUGCGGAGGGAUCAUUACCGAGUUUACAACUCCCAAACCCCUGUGAACAUACCUAUACGUUGCCUCGGCGGAUCAGCCCGCGCCCUGUAAAACGGGACGGCCCGCCCGAGGACCCUAAACUCUGUUUUUAGUGGAACUUCUGAGUAAAACAAACAAAUAAAUCAAAACUUUUAACAAUGGAUCU
rnacentral:misc_RNA from 1 species